UGAGUAACACGUAGGUAAUGUGCCUUUGGGUGGGGAAUAACUUAGGGAAACUUAAGCUAAUACCGCAUAAUGCAGCGGCUCCUUCGGGAGACAGUUGUUAAAGAUUUAUCGCCUAAAGAGCAGCCUGCGGCAGAUUAGCUAGUUGGUAAGGUAACGGCUUACCAAGGCGACGAUCUGUAUCCGACCUGAGAGGGUGGUCGGACACACUGACACUGAAUAACGGGUCAG
rnacentral:rRNA from 1 species